GCCUCGAACUCGUGGGCUCAAGAGACCCUCCCAGCUUAGGCUCCAAGUGCUAGGACUACAGGCAUGUGCCACCACACCUCGCUAAUUUUUUUUCUUUCUUUUUCUUUCUUUCUUUUUUUUUUUUUUUUGUUUUUUAAGAGAUGAGAGUCUCGCUAUGUUGCCCAGGCUGGUCUCGAACUCUUGGCCUCAAGCAGUCCUCUGGCCUUAGCCUCCCAAGUAGCUGGGAUUACAGGUGUGAGCCGUGCCUGCCUCCUGAGUUAACUUCUUACUCAAGAAAGAAUGCUUGUCCCUGCAAGAACAGCAGAACGCCUCAUGAACUGCAGCUGGGAACUGGAAAUGCCACAGAUAACACUGCAAACUUUAAAUGAACCAGAUUUUGGCAUGAAAAAAGACCUG
rnacentral:lncRNA from 10 species